rnacentral:tRNA from 1 species
GCGCCUAUAGCUCAGUUGGUAGAGCAGCUCCCUUUUAAGGAGACGGUCGCGGGUUCGAAUCCCUCUGGGCGCA